rnacentral:rRNA from 1 species
UACGGAGGGUGCAAGCGUUAAUCGGAAUUACUGGGCGUAAAGCGUGCGCAGGCGGUUUUGUAAGUCUGUCGUGAAAUCCCCGGGCUCAACCUGGGAAUUGCGAUGGAGACUGCAUGGCUAGAGUCUCGGAGAGGAUCGUGGAAUUCUCGGUGUAGAGGUGAAAUUCGUAGAUAUCGAGAGGAACACCGGUGGCGAAGGCGGCGAUCUGGACGAUGACUGACGCUGAGACGCGAAAGCGUGGGGAGCAAACAGG